rnacentral:rRNA from 1 species
GACGAACGCUGGCGGCGUGCUUAACACAUGCAAGUCGAACGGAAAGGCCCUGCUUUUGUGGGGUGCUCGAGUGGCGAACGGGUGAGUAACACGUGAGUAACCUGCCCUUGACUUUGGGAUAACUUCAGGAAACUGGGGCUAAUACCGGAUAGGAGCUCCUGCUGCAUGGUGGGGGUUGGAAAGUUUCGGCGGUUGGGGAUGGACUCGCGGCUUAUCAGCUUGUUGGUGGGGUAGUGGCUUACCAAGGCUUUGACGGGUAGCCGGCCUGAGAGGGUGACCGGCCACAUUGGGACUGAGAUACGGCCCAGACUCCUAAGGGAGGCAGAAGUGGGGAAUAUUGCACAAUGGGCGGAAGCCUGAUGCAGCAACGCCGCGUGCGGGAUGACGGCCUUCGGGUUGUAAACCGCUUUCGCCUGUGACGAAGCGUGAGUGAAGGUAAUGGGUAAAGAAGCACCGGCUAACUACGUG